UAGCGAAACCGCCCCGGCCUGCGGGCCGGGUGCGGUCGGCCGGGCGUGGUGGCCCGGUCCUGAUGAGCAGCCGACA
rnacentral:hammerhead_ribozyme from 2 species